AAACGAACGCUGGCGGCAUGCCCUCAACUACAUUACAAGUCGAACGAGAUCUUCGCCAUCUAGUGGCGCACGGGUGCGUAACGCGUGGGAAUCUGCCCUUGGGUUCGGAAUAACUUCUGGAAACGGAAGCUAAUACCGGAUGAUGACGUAAGUCCAAAGAUUUAUCGCCCAAGGGAUGAGCCCGCGUAGGAUUAGGUAGUUGGUGAGGUAAAGGCUCACCAAGCCGACGAUCCUUAGCUGGUCUGAGAGGAUGAUCAGCCACACUGGGACUGAGACACGGCCCAGACUCCUACGGGAGGCAGCAGUAGGGAAUAUUGGACAAUGGGCGAAAGCCUGAUCCAGCAAUGCCGCGAUGAGUGAUGAAGGCCUUAGGGUUGUAAAGCUCUUUUACCCGGGAUGAUAAUGACAGUACCGGGAGAAUAAGCUCCGGCUAACUCCGUGCCAGCAGCCGCAGGUAAUACGGAGGGAG
rnacentral:rRNA from 1 species